rnacentral:rRNA from 1 species
GACGUAGGGCGCGAGCGUUGUCCGGAUUUAUUGGGCGUAAAGAGCUCGUAGGCGGUUUGUCGCGUCUGCCGUGAAAGUCCGGGGCUCAACUCCGGAUCUGCGGUGGGUACGGGCAGACUAGAGUGAUGUAGGGGGAGACUGGAAUUCCUGGUGUAGCGGUGAAAUGCGCAGAUAUCAGGAGGAACACCGAUGGCGAAGGCAGGUCUCUGGGCAUUAACUGACGCUGAGGAGCGAAAGCAUGGGGAGCGAACAGG